CCUACGGGGGGCUGCAGUGAGGAAUAUUGGUCAAUGGUCGGGAGACUGAACCAGCCAAGCCGCGUGAGGGAUGAAGGUACAGAGUAUCGUAAACCUCUUUUGUCAGGGAACAAAGGCGGGGACGUGUCCCCGGCUGAGUGUACCUGACGAAAAAGCAUCGGCUAACUCCGUGCCAGCAGCCGCGGUAAUACGGAGGAUGCGAGCGUUAUCCGGAUUUAUUGGGUUUAAGGGGUGCGCAGGCGGUCUGUUAAGUCCGCGGUCAAAGCCCGGGGCUCAACCCCGGCCCGCCGUUGAAACUGGCAGUCUCGAGUUGGAGAGAAGUAUGCGGAAUGCGCGGUGGAGCGGUGAAAUGCAGAGAUAGCGCGCAGAACUCCGAUUGCGAAGGCAGCAUGCCGGCUCCACACUGACGCUGAGGCACGAAAGCGUGGGUAUCGAACAGGAUUAGAUACCCCAGUAGUC
rnacentral:rRNA from 1 species